rnacentral:rRNA from 1 species
UACGAAGGGGGCUAGCGUUGCUCGGAAUUACUGGGCGUAAAGGGCGCGUAGGCGGACAGUUUAGUCAGAGGUAAAAGCCCAGGGCUCAAACCUUGGAACUGCCUUUGAUACUGACUGUCUUGAGUUCGGGAGAGGUGAGUGGAAUGCCGAGUGUAGAGGUGAAAUUCGUAGAUAUUCGGCGGAACACCAGUGGCGAAGGCGACUCACUGGCCCGAUACUGACGCUGAGGCGCGAAAGCGUGGGGAGCAAACAGGG